GGAGAGGUUGCAUAGUCCGGCCUAAUGCGCGCGCCUGGAGAGCGCGUGAGCCGCAAGGCUCCGUGGGUUCGAAUCCCACCCUCUCCGCUA
rnacentral:tRNA from 1 species